UAGUAAAAUUACACAUGCAAGUAUCCGCACUCCAGUGAGAAUGCCCUUUAAAUCGAUUAAAAGGAGCAGGUAUCAAGCGCACUAGUAGCUCAUAACACCUUGCUCAACCACACCCCCACGGGAGACAGCAGUGACAAAAAUUAAGCAAUAAACGAAAGUUUGACUAAGUUAUACUAAGAGCCGGUAAAUUUCGUGCCAGCCACCGCGGCCAUACGAUUGACUCAGAUUAAUAGAACCUCGGCGUAAAGCGUGUCAAAGAUAAAGUUAAAAGUCUAGUUAAGCUGUAAAAAGCUAUAACCAAAAUAAAAUAGACCACGAAAGUGACUUUAACAUAUCACCCACACUACAGCUAAGACCCAAACUGGGAUUAGAUACCCCACUAUGCUUAGCCUCAAACCCAAAUAAUUACAAAAUUAUUCGCCAGAGUACUACUAGCAACAGCCUAAAACUCAAAGGACUUGGCGGUGCUUUAUAUCCCCCUAGAGGAGCCUGUUCCAUAACCGAUAAACCCCGAUAAACCUUACCAACUCUUGCUAAUUCAGCCUAUAUACCGCCAUCUUCAGCGAACCCUAAAAAGGAACCAAAGUAAGCACAAGUAUAAGACAUAAAAACGUUAGGUCAAGGUGUAGCUUAUGGGUUGGAGAGAAAUGGGCUACAUUUUCUACUUUAAGAAACGAAAGCUUUUAUGAAAUCAAAAGCUAAAGGAGGAUUUAGCAGUAAAUUAAGAAUAGAGAGCUUAAUUGAACCAGGCCAUAAAGCACGCACACACCGCCCGUCACCCUCCUUAAAUA
rnacentral:ncRNA from 1 species